UAUCCAGCUUAACAGGAAACAACCAGACUUUCAUAUCUGCUUCUGCAUUCAAUUUGUUGUAUAAUACAUGUCAUGCCAACCCUGGAAACUCCACUGUCCUCUGAUAGGAGAACAAAGGCGAAACGGGCAAAUAACGUAUCAUUAUUAGUAUAAAAAUUGCUUCGGCUUUGCAAAGCCCCUGAAAGGGUCUUAGGGACAUCCAGGCAUCCUGGGAUCAUACUUUGAGAACGAUGGCACUACACUUUACUGCCUCUGAGUACACAGGGAGAAUGUCUUGGUUGAAUUUUAAGUGUUCCUUAAGAAACAGUGUUUCUUCGAGUAAAUCCCAGCCUGCUGUGGUAGAAGGAGCAGAGGCUGAGUAGCCAGAGACUGGGUUGCAACCCUAGUUCUGUGCGUGGGAGCUCUUGACCUUAAGUUCUCUCCAUCUCAGGUUCCUUAUCUUUAAAAUGAGGCUCAUUACCAAUCCCUUCCAGGGUCAUCACAGGCUUUUCAAAAAACAUGUGGAUAAGGUGCCUAACAGGUGCUGACACAAGAGGAUGUCUGACCAAGUGUAGCUUUUAUUUCAGAUAGAUUAAGGACAGCCAGGGAGGAAGGAGAGGGACCACGACCAGCAAAAAGGGAAGGAGAAAAGAGCUACCAAGGAUAGAACCACAAACGCUCAGCUGGAAGCCUUUCAAGCCAGGUGUUUAGAGACUCGGAUGUUUGGACUUUUAGGAAUUUAUUGGGGUGCAUAUACUGUAGAUAAUGUCAGACCUCCAUAAGACUUGGAGGACCAUCUGAUAAUCAAACACAUUUAUACUUCUAGAGAGGGAUAUAUUUCACUCAUCCCACGGCCUAGAAAUAGCCUUCUGUCUGGCCAGGUUUUAAUGCCAAAAGAUUUACAAAAAAUAUUUCAGUGUUCAGAACUCUGGGAUUUGGGACUGUAGAUGAGGGAUUGUGGACCUUAUUGAGCUUCUGUGCCAGCACCAAGCAAGGGAUUGUGCCCAUGCCCUUUCAUUUCAUCCUUUCAACUCCAUGAGCAAGAAGCAGACAUCUAAGGAUCUGGAGAGAUCUUUGCCUAGUAUUUGCCUUGCAAUCAACUUUAGAGGACCCCAGGGUUGGAGCAGUGGCCUCUGGCUUUCUGAUUAUGGCUGUUGCCUGCAAUUUAAAGUCCUAAUAUUCAUUUUGUUUGAAGAGGGAUGGAGGAGGAGUUAGACUCGUGGAGAGGUGUGUGUGUGUGUGUGUGUGUGUGUGUGUGUGUGUGUUUCAAGAUGAACCCAAUAGCAUCAACAAAUAUCUUAAUGAGGGUACAGAAAGUUUAUAUUUAACUUGUUGAAAAUCCACCUAGUCAUGAACCUAAUUUCCUGAAGAAUAAAUGUAAGGUGAGAUGAUACGUUUUGGAUACCAAUAAGAUCCAUUACCUACUACGUUUAUAGGGAUAGAAAUUGAACAAAUGGAAACAUUUCAAAAUCUGCCAAAAAGAGCCCCAACUGAUUGUUUUCAUGUUUAUAAUCACAGAGGAACAAGCCCUAAAGUUGCCUGAAGAUAAGUCCUGGCUAUGAAUUAAUGUUGAACAACAUGAAAACAUUACAGGUACUUGGAAACAAACUUCUGAGGAACCCAUCAGAAUUUCAAAUUAUGCAAGUAUUAUGACAAUACUUGAGAAUUUCAAAAUUAUUUCAACUAUCAAUUUCUGUGGGAUUUUAUAAUAAUUUGCAGCUUCAAUGACAAAAUAAUUAAAAAUGAUGUUUUCUAAAUCUACGUACACAAUUAUUCUGACUUUAUAGGAAAUAAAUGACAUUUAUUUGGACAUCUAUACAUGUCACACACAUUAAUACGUAUUUUGUGGAUUCCAACUUAAAUACUUACAUAUUUCAAAAUUGUAACCUCUUUAAGUUUGUCACUGUCACAAACUUGGCUUCAUGGUACUUCAAAUGUCCUCUCCCCAGUCAAAAAGCAGAAAAUGUUGUUUGUUAAAAGGCAGGGAAGUAGAAAAAAAACUUUUUAUAAUACCUGUAUCCAGUUAAGUAGAUAUGGCUGCUCUAGUGAGUUGAGACGACUUGAUUUUUCUCCUUUCCACUCCCCUCCCCUCCCCUUACCUUCCCUCCUUCCUUCCUUCUUUCCUUCCUUCCUUCCUUCCUUCCUUCCUUCUUUCCUUCCUUCCUUCCUUCCUUCCUUCCCUUCUACCUUCCUUCCUUUAUUCUUUCCUUCCUCUUUCUUGUUAUUUUACCCUUCAAAAGUGGGUUUUAAAGUUUCCAUAUACAAUAAAUCACCGCUACUUUAUUGCCGUUAUCAUCUAGACUUCCUUCAGGAACCACAAUUACAAUUGCAACAAUUAGUUGAACACAGGGCUUUUCCCAGGAUUCCUGGAAACUAGGGUGUGACAGUAAAAAUGGGCUCGUGGACGCCUAUCUGACGCGCUUACUGUGGACGUGAACUCACUGCACGUGCUGGUAGUGGAUGUGGUGGUGUGCAGCCCCCACCUCCCCUCCAGGACUCAGGCACUCAUUCGCCCAGCUGCCAGGAGUGAGUUGUUUUUUGUCUCACAGGUGAGACACUUUUGUUGUCUCACAGGUGAGUCUGUCUUUGGGAAUCCCUCCCUUAGCAGAAGAGAGCUGCCCUGCCCAAGGCCCUACCCCCUCUGCAGUUGGGGUUUGGGGGGCAGCACGCAUCCUGUGGCUGGCUGGCCCCUUGCCUUGUCUAGACAACUCUGACAGCAGUCCAUGGGAAUUGCUGAAGGCCUUUAUUGCAACCGAGUCAUAAUUUAAUUUCUCCCUCUAUGGAAUCCUUUUUCUCUUACUUCCUUAUAGGUAUUGAUCCUAAAAGCACUCCCCAGUGAAAGUCCUGCAUGUAAAUCUCCACCUCAGACCCUGUUUCUCAGAAAUGCAGUGAUCAACUAUAUGGAGGAGAUAUGUGAGAAAUGCCUUAGCAGACAAUGAAGAAAGAGAUCAAAAGGCUCAGAGAAGCAGGAAUGCUACGGUGGAUAUGCAGUCAGCUCUCUGCAUCUGUGGGUUCAACCAACCUCGGACUGAAAAUAUUCAGUAUUUGGGAAAAAAGUGUCAUCCCAUACUGAACAUAAAUGAUAUUUUGAUCUUGGGGUUGAGGGUCAUAAUUUCCUCUUUAAAAUGGACAUUAAAAUUCAGCACGCAUUUGGAGUACAAGGAAGGGUGAUGAUCACAGGUCUUCAGGUAGCUGUGUAAGAAGCAACAAGGAAAACAAAGGGUCCUGGUAAUUGCAAACAACUGAUGAGUCAAACCUGAGCAUUCAGCAUCGGGAGCGCUGUCACUAAACAUGUAGCCUCAUUCAGCAACACAUCCUUAUCAAGCACUUGCAGGUACUCCGCUGAAUGUUAGAAAUGCAUUGAUGGUGGAGACAUAGCACCGGCUCACAGGGACCUUCCAGCCUAGGCCGCAGGAUUGGACGUGUGCACUUUGGUAGAUUUAUUUUUAGAAAUUGGCUUAUGCAAGUGUGGAGCUGGCAAGUCUAACAACCACAGGGCAGGUCAGCAGGCUGGAGACCCAGGGAAGAGGUGAUGCUGCAGUCUCUAGUCUGAAGCCUGUGCAGAGGCGGAAUUUCCUCUUUCUCGGAGCAUCUCAGGCAUUUUCUCCUAAGUCCUUCAACUGACUGGAUGAGGCCACCCCCAUUAGGGAGGGUACAUUAGCUUUCCUUAAAGUCUACUGAUGCAAAUGUUUAUCUCAUCUACACACUGCCUUCACGGCAACAACUAGACUGAUAUUUGACCAUGCAUCUGGGCACCAUAGCCCAGACAAACUGGUACAUAAAAAAUUACCACAGAUGGGGAGAGGCUUCAUGGGGGAAAGCUGGUUAGGAGACAUAAAAAUACUCAAAGCCUGAGAACAGGUCUUUAGCUGCUCCCAAAGUAUCCAAAUUGAUGGCCCAUCAGAAAGUGGAAGCCAUCCACCGGAAAGACCUUUUCCCCAGCAACAGGUACAUGAGUAUGUGCUGUGUGUUGGACAGGACUGAGCUCCCACCAGAGGAUCCAAGGAAUGGGAUUGAUUUGCUCCUGGCCUCACCAUCUCCCUUAAAAAUGCCAGCUUAUUUCUCUGCAUAUUUGCGUUAUUAUUUUUUUCAUUGUUCUCUGGAGAUUUAUGAUUUUCAACUGUUUUUUUUUU